rnacentral:lncRNA from 1 species
UAGCAUAUAAUGGAAUGGCAGUGUACAAAUGAUAACAUAACAAAAUAAAGAUCUGAAUUACAACAAAAUAAUGAUUAAUUAUUUCAUGAUUUAAAGAAAAAAAGACCAUAUACAAUUUUUUCAAAGAUUCACUAUUGUUUUCAAGAAAAAAAAUUCUGAUAUCAAAAUGAUUUGAAUGAAAAAUAUAAUCAAACAAAAUUUUAAAGUCAGUUCAAGGAAAAUUCAAAGUUGUCCAAAUUUAUAUAACUAUAUAACUUUAUCUGAUGCUUUUCUUUGAUAAUUGUUUCAAGAAAAAACUGGGAUUUGAAAUGAAAUCAUUAAAAACUACUAUAUAUAACAGAAUGUGAAUGAAACAACAUAUUGAACAUAACAACCAUUAUAACAAAUAAUCAACACAUGUAAUAUGUUAGUGCUAUUACAUUAAAACAGAUGUGGGAUGGUAGGAUGGGGCAAUUACUUCUGGAAAAGGGUCCUUGAUGACUGUUUGAGAUAUGGGAAACUACACACCUGUAAUGUGUUGGUUUGUUGUGGUGGUAUUUUCGAAGUGCCUGAACUAUCCUCUAACAUCUAUUUUAAUUGCAUAACCCUAAUGACAAUGAAAGCACUCAUGUAUACUGCAUACAUAUAUUGUGACAAUGAAGUACUUGUGUGGCAAGUAUUUGUAAUAUUAAUGAAAUCUUUUGUACACUGUGUACAUAUUUCGGUGAGCAUAUAUCGUAUUGACAAUGAAGCAUUUGUGUACACCAUGUACACUGCAUAUUUGUGUAAUGGAGCAUAUGUUAUGUAUUGACAAUGAAAGCACAUGUGUACACUAUCUCAUCUGCGGCAGUUAUUAUUGUGAUUCACUUAAUCCUAAUUUAUCCACAGACAAUUUAACAAUUCUGGAGGAUAGUUGUCCACAAUCAUACCACAUCUCCCUAUUUCUAUAGUAAACGUAAUAAGCAGAAUUGCUCAAGUAAAAAUAUUUGCUCCAGAUGAUUAAUCCUUAAAUUUAUUGGGUUUUCAUCUCAGACAUUUUAGUUUCAACAGCUGAAGCUGUAAACAAAAUUACUCAUUACAGGUUUUGGUUAAAAAUUUAAACAAGCUAUUCAAGCCUCUAAAUGAACUAAACACUUUUGAUUGUAUCAGAAUAGAAGGCAGAUAAAAAUGGGGAAAAGGGGGGGGGGGGGACUUUGAAGAUAUCCAAUCAACAUUUGUAGAAAGAGACCAGAUAAUUUCUUACUUGAAUAUUUAUACACAAUUUGAAAGCUAUAUUCUUUAUGUUUAAAAGCACUCUUAAAACACAUUAAAAAUAUUUAGGGAAUUAAAAUAACUCAUAUAAAGGUUUUGAAUGGUUUUGCACUAUUAAUUUGGGGGUAUUUUUAGCUUAUUGUUCGGUGUGAGCCAAGGCUCCGGUGUUGAAGGCCGUACAUUGACCUAUAAUGGUUUACUUUUAUAAAUUGUUAUUUUGAUGGAGAGUUGUCUCAUAAUCUUCCUAUAUCUAUUAAAUGAUGAAAACAACUUUUGCAAGACUGACAAUAUGGCACUCACAUAAUAUUAUAAACAAUAACAUUUAGUAAAAUAAGUAUCUUGAGCAGACAAAGCACUGGUAUGUAUAAUAAAAUCUUUACAAAAUAACAAAGAACAAUAUAGAGCCGUAUAGAUCUAAAUAGCAAUAACAAUAAUGGAAUAGUAACCUCCAAUAUAACAGAAUUAUUACCGCCAAUAUAUAAAUCACAAUAUAAAUAACAUCCAUGUUAAAAUGAAAAAUCAGGAAUAUAUUUACAAUAAAUACCCUCAAAAACAUAACUAAUAAUCUUUAUCCCUCACAUGGUAUUUAAAGGCUGUUUCAUACAUAAAACACAAAUGGAUACAGGGAAAGCGCUUACACAUCUAGUAUAUGUUUUGUUUUUUUUAAUUUAUACAGUGGAAGUGUAAAAGAAAUUCUAAAAUUCAUGAACACCUUACAACUAUGUUGGUUGUGUUAAAAGUGCCUCCCCCUGAUACCAUAUAUGUUUUAAUGUAAACUUUGCAUGAUAUAAACUAACCUUCUGUAAACUUUGAUAAAAAUAAGGCCUGGUGAUUUGGUUUGUGUAAAGGUCUAAACAAUGAAUUCCUCUGAUGAAAAUCCAUUAAGACAAACUGUGAUUGUUUCUUGUACCCAACCUAACCCGAUUCUUUUAAAUUUAUUUAUCCAAUUGAACUAUUCAAAAGUAACAUUUUUCCUGACAAUAUUUGACAUCUGUUAACAUGUCACCCCAAAUACAACCAUUUGAUUCCUAUAAUGAUGAAAAUUCUUUUCAUGAAAUCCAAUAAAUAUAAAUAUAUUGUGGGUGAACAAAGUCCUACUCUUUCGGUAAUAAGAUAAUAAGUGGGUCAAACAUUCUGAAGACCAAGUAAAAUUGCAAUAAAAAGGCUUUACAAUAUUACAAUAGAAACUUAUGACAAAGAUUGUAUCAAUUGGACAAAUGGUUUCACAGAAGAUUUUUUUUUAAAGUUUCCAAAUGGCACAUAACAACAAUAAAUGUCAAAUAAUGGCAAUAUCUUACAGUAAAAGAUACACAUUUCGUUAUAAAAAAGCAAAAAUGCCAUAUUAAGGUCUGUACAAAUUUCUUAGCCUUAUAUAAAAGAAAUAUGUGCGAAAAAUGUCAAAUAAAAAUUGCAUAUAACAGAGGUAAAGGCACAUAGAAAGCAAGCAAUAUAUAUACAAUGUUUGGAAACACUAGCAAAUUUCAUGGCAUCAGCUAUGUAACUGUAAAAAUAAGCAGUAUUCUGCAACUGUUUUGAUAAAUUAAAUUAUGUUGAAGCCAUUUUUUAUGUAAUACAAACUAUGCAAGGACUAUUGUUGAAUUUCUGAAAAUUUGGCAAAAUAAAAAUCAGUUAUUCAAUUUCUAUGGAUGCAAAGUUUAGCACGUCUGCAAUUUAAGUACUCCUCAUCACAGAAUCUUGGAUUAUUUGGAAGUCUGUUCAACCCACUUUUCUAUGAUUCAGUAUUGAUUCAACACUUAAUUUGUGAGACUAUAAGGAUAUGUCUUUGAAAAUAAAUACAGAAUAGAAACUUUUGCUGGGUUUUUUUUUUAUAAACAAAAGAUGAAAAGUAAUCACAUUUCAAAAAGAGGUUAAUAUAGAUAGGAUGUUACAAACCGGAUUGUAUGAAAAUUUGAACAAGUUGCAUAACAUAGACAGCUUUUGUGAAAAAUACCAAGCUAUACACUUAUAAUGUACAAAUACAUUUAUAUGACAUUAAAACACAGAAGCCACAUAAUUUAAACAUAUAAGCCCUAUAAAUAAUAAAAUGAGAUCUAGAGAAACAUAUAAUCUCUUCACAUGUACUUUUAUAAAAAAAAGAAAUACCAUAAGAAUAUCUGCAUAAAACUACAACUUACUCAAACACUAUAUAUACAUGAUAUAUCACUUUAAAAUGAUCAUUUUAUUCUAAAAUUUGUAAGGGUUCCCCGGGACCUAGUGUCUAGCCUACUUUAAUUUUGCUGUUAGUCCCAAGAAAAAUCAGGGAAAGAUUAUUAAAAAUUUUCCUCUAGAUACUAUCUUUUGAUUAAAAGAAGCUGCUGUCCAAGUUUAGUAAAAAUCCAAGAUGGUUAAUGAAACUUAUAAAUGUUUUAAAAACUUCAACUGUAGACUGUCUUUGUUUAAAAAAUUCGUAAGGGUUCCACGGAACCCAGUGUCUCGCCUACUUUUGCUGUUAAUCGCAGACUCAACAAAAAUGAGGAAAAACAUCAAUAAAAAUUUCCCUCUCGAUACUGUCUUUUGAUUGAAAGAAGCUUCCAAGUUUGGUAAAAAAUCCAGGAUAGUUUAUGAAUCUAAUAAAUGUUUUAUAAACUUUAACUGCAGCCUGUAUGUAAUGUUAACUGGAAGAA